UAAAGAGAAAGAAAAGAUGAAGACCAUUCCCGCAUCAGCUUUCUUCCCAUGCUGCUGCCGCCCUCUCCUUCUACGGUUUCCCCUUUCUUUUUCUUCAUUUUCUCUUCAAAUUUCUUAAAGACCCAACGAUCAAACUUAGAGAUUUUACUAAAACCACUUAGAAAACAACCUCUAUAUUAGUUUUCCACCAUCAAAACCUCCAUUUUCAGCAAGGGUUUAUGAGUUUUUUGUUUGAGAAAGUAAAGAUAGAAGGAGAAAGUUUUAAAAAGGUGACCCAACAAUGAUGGUUUUCACAAUUUUCAUAUUCUACCAUCUUGGGUGGCUCGAAAAUGAUGGCUUUCACUGUUUGCAUAUCCUACCAUCCCAGGUUGCCUGACAACGAUGGUGACUUAAAUUCACUAUAUUGAUGACCCUAUGGCAAGUCAACUAUAUAUGAUUUUGCCCGAACAUCUACUAAGUUUUGUUGCUUGCUAAAGCUAAUGGCUCAGUGGCAAUACCCGUUAAUACUAUUGGCUUGAAUGAGAACAAAGAUUGUUGUGAGGAAGGAUAGGGUGGUAACAUUAGAGGAGGUGCUGGUGAUGGAUCACAUAUUGGUAGUGAAACAAGUGGAGAUGGUUAUGAUUAUGGAGGUCAACCAAGUGAAGGAGAUAACGAUAAUGGCGAUUGUGAUGAUGGUGGCAAUAGUGGUGCAAGGAAUGGUUAUAGUCGUGGUUCAAAAAGAGGAAGAGGUGGUGGAGAUGGCGGUGGGGAUGGUGGUGGCAGUGGUGGUGGACAAGGAUAUGGUGGAGGCUAUGGCAGUGGAGGCGGGGGUGACUAUCAGGUAGUAAGAAUGACCUUCAGGUGUUCGAUGAUAUGUUUGAGUUAAGCACAACAUAGUUUACUCGCCGCCUAUGACUGUAAGGUGUUUGUUAAAAUGCUUGUGAGAAAUUGUCUACCUUGUUCUAGCCCAUUUCUGGUUUAGCAUUUCUGUUAACAACCCAUUUGGUUUCUGGUUUAUCAAAUUAAGUCUGUUAUUGUUGUUAUAACGAGUGGUACAGCUGUAGCUCGUUUGCUACUUUUUUGUUAUUGAUGGUUCUAGAACACCUGAACUUCUAUAAGUAGCCUAGGUGUUGCUUUAUCAUUCUUAUGCUAUCAAUGAUGAUUAAAUUGAGUGUUACACUUACAAGCUC